ACUUGAUGGACGCACUAGAUAGUUCCAGAAACGAACAGAAGCAUCGACCCAUUUCUCUCAAGCUCGAGACCCGCGACAGUGACCCAAACGGAACUCCCGCGUCCGGCAACAACACGACGGCCCACCGGUCAUGUUCGACGCGUCUUGUCGUCUUGGUUCUGUCUAUGGUCACGGAUCAUCCAUGCAUGGAGUGAGGAGAGAGAGAGAGAGAGUCGAAGCCCAAAAACUUCGAGUUUUCCGGCGAAGUUUCUGCAAUUUCUGGCGAUCAUCGGGGAUGCAGGAGCGGAGCCGCUGUCCUCUUUGGUCGUUCUAUGCUUCUAGGCUCAUAUCCGACAUCUUGGAGCAUCAUCUGAGGUCCGGGGAAGCUCUGCUCAUUAGGUUGGUUGCAUUGAGAAGUUUGGAGUGGGUGGAAUGUGGAGGUGAUCAAUAACAGGACAAGGUUGCUUCAUUCUGUGUUGUGAAGUGAAGGCAGUAGACUCAAGGAUCAAUCCUCAAUCCUAUAAGUAAAGGUAAGCUGGAAGUUGUGUUGAAAAUUGACUUGGAAUCCAUAAGUGGAGUAUGAUUGUAAAUGUUGGGAUUGAACUAGUUUCGGGUUAGUAGUUCUGUUUGACAAUUCGAUGUUGUGGAAAUCUGGAAAUUUGGUUAUUAAUGUUUUGAAUGGUGAUUUUGGAACAUGAUGGUUUCCUGUGA